AUAGUUCCUAAAGUUAACAUGUUAGAUCUUUUUUUUUCCACCCCAUGAGGGUCUCACUCUCACCCAGGCUGGAAUGCAGUGGUGUGAUUGUAGCACACUUUGGCCACCAACUCUUGGGCUCAAGUGAUCCUCCUGCCUUGGCCUCCUCUAAGCUGGGAUUACUGGCACCUGCCAUCACGCUCAGCUAAUUUUUGUAUUUUGAGCAGAGAUGGGGUUUCACCAUGUUGGCCAGGUGAUCCGCACCCCCACUCCCCCCACCCCUCCCAAAGUGCUGGGAUUACAGGCAUAAGCCACAAGCCACCUCGCCCAGCCAAUAUGUUACAUCUUAAUUCUUGGGUUUUCUUCACUGCAGGGUUUUGGGUGGAGAAAUAAAACUCUUCAAAUGC
rnacentral:sRNA from 1 species